AGGACGAACGCUGGCGGCGUGCUUAACACAUGCAAGUCGAGCGGUAAGGCCCUUCGGGGUACACGAGCGGCGAACGGGUGAGUAACACGUGAGCAACCUGCCCCUGACUCUGGGAUAAGCGGUGGAAACGCCGUCUAAUACCGGAUACGACCUUCCGCCUCAUGGUGGAGGGUGGAAAGUUUUUUCGGUCAGGGAUGGGCUCGCGGCCUAUCAGCUUGUUGGUGGGGUAACGGCCUACCAAGGCGAUUACGGGUAGCCGGCCUGAGAGGGCGACCGGCCACACUGGGACUGAGACACGGCCCAGACUCCUGCGGGAGGCAGCAGUGGGGAAUAUUGCGCAAUGGGCGAAAGCCUGACGCAGCGACGCCGCGUGGGGGAUGACGGCCUUCGGGUUGUAAACCUCUUUUACCACCAACGCAGGCUCCGGGUUCUCUCGGGGUUGACGGUAGGUGGGGAAUAAGGACCGGCUAACUACGUGCCAGCAGCCGC
rnacentral:rRNA from 1 species